CUAUCUCUUACCCAUGUCUUUUGAGUACCUUCGUUUCCUCGGCGGGUUCGCCCGCCGAUUGGACAAUUUAAACCAUUUGCAGUUGCAAUCAGCGUCUGAAAAAACAUAAUAGUUACAACUUUCAACAACGGAUCUCUUGGUUCUGGCAUCGAUGAAGAACGCAGCGAAAUGCGAUAAGUAGUGUGAAUUGCAGAAUUCAGUGAAUCAUCGAAUCUUUGAACGCACAUUGCGCCCCUUGGUAUUCCAUGGGGCAUGCCUGUUCGAGCGUCAUUUGUACCUUCAAGCUCUGCUUGGUGUUGGGUGUUUGUCUCGCCUCUGCGCGUAGACUCGCCUCAAAACAAUUGGCAGCCGGCGUAUUGAUUUCGGAGCGCAGUACAUCUCGCGCUUUGCAUUCAGAACGACGACGUC
rnacentral:rRNA from 1 species